GAUGAACGCUGGCGGCGUGCCUAAUACAUGCAAGUCGAGCGAACGGAUAAGGAGCUUGCUCCUUUGAAGUUAGCGGCGGACGGGUGAGUAACACGUGGGUAACCUACCUAUAAGACUGGAAUAACUUCGGGAAACCGAAGCUAAUGCCGGAUAACAUAUAGAACCGCAUGGUUCUAUAGUGAAAGAUGGUUUUGCUAUCACUUAUAGAUGGACCCGCGCCGUAUUAGCUAGUUGGUAAGGUAAAGGCUUACCAAGGCGACGAUACGUAGCCGACCUGAGAGGGUGAUCGGCCACACUGGAACUGAGACACGGUCCAGACUCCUACGGGAGGCAGCAGUAGGGAAUCUUCCGCAAUGGGCGAAAGCCUGACGGAGCAACGCCGCGUGAGUGAUGAAGGUUUUCGGAUCGUAAAACUCUGUUAUUAGGGAAGAACAAAUGCGUAAGUAACUGUGCGCAUCUUGACGGUACCUAAUCAGAAAGCCACGGCUAACUACGUGCCAGCAGCCGCGGUAAUACGUAGGUGGCAAGCGUUAUCCGGAAUUAUUGGGCGUAAAGCGCGCGUAGGCGGUUUCUUAAGUCUGAUGUGAAAGCCCACGGCUCAACCGUGGAGGGUCAUUGGAAACUGGGAAACUUGAGUGCAGAAGAGGAAAGUGGAAUUCCAUGU
rnacentral:rRNA from 1 species